CUUUAUGGUGGUCAUGCGUGGGGCUCCAUUGUGAGCGCCGGGUUUCCUGUUUCGACCGGUCUACCAACCCACGCAUGGCCGCCACCCUU
rnacentral:antisense_RNA from 1 species